UACGAAGGGGGCUAGCGUUGCUCGGAAUCACUGGGCGUAAAGCGCACGUAGGCGGCUUUUUAAGUCAGAGGUGAAAUCCUGGAGCUCAACUCCAGAACUGCCUUUGAUAUUGGAGAGCUUGAGUCCGGGAGAGGUGAGUGGAACUGCGAGUGUAGAGGUGAAAUUCGUAGAUAUUCGCAAGAACACCAGUGGCGAAGGCGGCUCACUGGCCCGAUACUGACGCUGAGGCACGAAAGCGUGGGGAGCAAACAGG
rnacentral:rRNA from 1 species